GCCUAUAGGCUGCAGUAGUUCUACAUGAGGCGGUUGUGUUUACCUGUGAAGGUAACCAGCCUGAGACCAACUGGGUUGGUCAGCUGCAUAUUGCUUCUGAUUGAGCCUGGUGUACAGGUAGCCUGACUGCGUAGCUCUGUCUUGUCCUAUGCGUUCGACAAAACGCUCCAGGAGAUUAGAGAACAGAGGUGUUACCUGCAGCUGUCAGUGAAGAGCCUGGAACAAGCCAAAGGAGGUGGUAAUGAAGGGUCAGAGGUCAUUGAGACAGCACUGGAUUCUGAAGACUCGCUGGCAGAAUUAAACCUACAGGAAGAGCUUCAGGAAGCAAUAAGACAGACUGUCUCUUUGCAAAUAGAAGUCCCACAGGAACAAGAGUACCUUCAGGAGAUAUUAGAACUAUUCAAGGACGCAGAGCCUGAGGAGACAACAAACAGGCCAGAAGACGAUGAGGAAGUGUCGCUUGAGCCAGAAGAAAAAGUAUCCUGGUGCAGGAAAAAAA